rnacentral:rRNA from 1 species
GGGGAAAAUUAAAAAUUUAAAUUUAAUAAAAAAAAUUUUAAUAUUAAAAAGAAAAUGGGGGUUUGAGUAUUUUUAAUAGAAAAAAUUAAUAUUUUUAUAGUUAAAUAUUACUGUAAAGGAAUUUAUAAAUAAAUGAAAUAAAAUUAAUAAAAAAGUAAAUUUAAUUUAUUGUAUCUUGUGUAUCAGAGUUUAUUAAAUAAUAAUAAUUUAUUUAAAUAAAUCUCGAAUUUAAAAGAGUUAAUUAAUUAAAAAAGUUAAUGUUGAAUAAUUAUUUUAAAUAAUUAAUUGGAAAUGAAAUGUUAAUCGUUUUUAAAUAUAUCUAGUUUUUUCAGAAAAAAAUUUAAUUUUAAAUUUAAAUAAUUUUAUAGUUAAUUAAUUAAAUAUAAAAAUUUAAGAUUUAAUAUUUUAGGGGAUAAGCUUUAAAUUAAAAAUUUAUAAUUAAAAUAAUAAAAAAAGAAUUAAAAUUUUUAGAAUUUAUAUUGUUUAAAAAUUAUAGUUUAUUAUAAAAAAUUUUAUUAAAAAUAAAAUUUAAAAUAAAAAAUUUAAAUUUUUAUGAAAAAAUAAUUUAUAAUUUAAUAAAAUUAGAAAUAAUGAUAAAAUUAGUAUAAUAUAAAAUAGUAAAAAUAAAAUUUAUAUUUAAAUAAAUUAAAGGAAUUCGGCAAAAAUUUAUAUUCACUUGUUUAUCAAAAACAUGUCUUUUUGAUAAUAAUUUAAAGUCUAAUCUGCCCACUGAUUUAAAUAUUAAAGGGCUGCAGUAUAUUGACUGUACAAAGGUAGCAUAAUCAUUAGUCUUUUAAUUGAAGACUUGUAUGAAAGAUUUGAUGAAAUAUAAACUGUCUCUUGUUUAUAUAUAGAAAUUAAUUUUUUAGUUAAAAAGCUAAAAUAAUAUUAAAAGACGAGAAGACCCUAUAGAGUUUUAUAUUUUAUUUAUUUAGUAUUAAAUAUAUAAUUAGAUAUAUUAAUUAAAUAAAAUAUUGUAUUGGGGUGAUAGAAAAAUUUAAUAAACUUUUUUUAAUAAUAAACAUAAAUAAUUGAAUAAUUGAUCCAUUUAUAAUGAUUAGAAGAAAAAAUUACCUUAGGGAUAACAGCGUAAUAUUUUUUUUUAGUACAAAUAAAAAAAAAAGUUUGCGACCUCGAUGUUGGAUUAAGAUAAAAUUUAAAUGCAAAAGUUUAAAAUUUUGAUCUGUUCGAUCAUUAAAAUCUUACAUGAUCUGAGUUCAAACCGGUGUAAGCCAGGUUGGUUUCUAUCUUUAAUAAAAAAAAAUAUUUUAGUACGAAAGGAUCAAAUAUUUAAAAUAAUUUUAAUUGAGGCAGAAUAUUAAUAAUGAUUAUAAUAUAU